UCUCCGUUGGUGAACCAGCGGAGGGACCAUUACCGAGUUUACAACUCCCAAACCCCUGUGAACAUACCUAUCGUUGCCUCGGCGGUGCCCGCUCCGGCGGCCCGCCAGAGGACCCCCAAACUCUUGUUUUAUACAGUAUCUUCUGAGUAACACGAUUAAAUAAAUCAAAACUUUCAACAACGGAUCUCUUGGUUCUG
rnacentral:misc_RNA from 1 species